CUGAAUGUGAGGGGCAUAAAUAGUUCAUAGAUGAUCUCACAGGCACAGUUUCUGGGAUGACAUGGAACUUGCUUGCAGCAGAACAGAGCAGGGAGAUGACUCUGCGUGUACUGGAUCCUACAAUGGGGAGAGAUGAGGAGCAGCAGCACGAAGGUAUCUUCUGCAGAGUGUGUACAACAUAGCCUAAGAGCUCAGGCUGGGCAUGUGGUCAGGUCCAGGAGCCAAAGAGGAACAACUUAGACAAAAUCCUGGAUUUGCUCAAUAAGAGAGCAAGAGCAAGAUGAGGAGGAAGGAGCUUUGUGAAUUGGGAGCCUGUUUUAUAAAGCCAAAUCCUCUGCAAAUCUAGAACAAAAGCUCGAAUCCCAAGGAGCCCCCAGCAACUAAUUCAGCAAUGAGCUGCCCUAUGAGAACAAAUACAUGAGCACCAAGCGUGAGUUGUGUGAACCUGCAGCUGAGUUCCUGUUUCAGGUUUCCAAGGGGCAGAGGAUAGCCCUUGUUUUUAAAAUGACAGGUCCUUUGGCAAUGUUGUCCUCUGACAACAACAAAGAAAGGAUGUGUUAUCUAAUGCCAGCCUAGCUGUUUC